GUAGGUGAACCUGCGGAAGGAUCAUUAUUGAAAUAAACCUGAUGGGUUGCUGCUGGUUCUUUAAUGAAUAUGUGCGCACCUGUCAUCUUUAUAUCUCCACCUGUGCACCUUUUGUAGACUUGGACAAAUUUCUUAAUGCUAGCAUUAAGGUUUUGGGAUUGACUUUUGUCUUUCCUUAUAUUUCCAUGUCUAUGUUUAUUCAUAUACCCUAAUGUAUGUUAUAGAAUGUAAUAAGUGGGCCUUUGUGCCU
rnacentral:misc_RNA from 1 species